rnacentral:rRNA from 1 species
AGCGAACGCUGGCGGCAGGCCUAACACAUGCAAGUCGAACGAACCUUUCGGGGUUAGUGGCGGACGGGUGAGUAACACGUGGGAACGUGCCUUUAGGUUCGGAAUAACUCAGGGAAACUUGUGCUAAUACCGAAUGUGCCCUUCGGGGGAAAGAUUAAUCGCCUUUAGAGCGGCCCGCGUCUGAUUAGCUAGUUGGUUGAGGUAAUGGCUCACCAAGGCGACGAUCAGUAGCUGGUCUGAGAGGAUGAUCAGCCACAUUGGGACUGAGACACGGCCCAAACUCCUACGGGAGGCAGCAGUGGGGAAUCUUGCGCAAUGUGCGAAAGCCUGACGCAGCCAUGCCGCGUGAAUGAUGAAGGUCUUAGGAUUGUAAAAUUCUUUCACCGGGGACGAUAAUGACGGUACCCGGAGAAGAAGCCCCGGUUAACUUCGUG